rnacentral:rRNA from 1 species
CCUACGGGAGGCAGCAGUGAGGAAUAUUGGUCAAUGGACGAGAGUCUGAACCAGCCAAGUAGCGUGAAGGAUGACUGCCCUAUGGGUUGUAAACUUCUUUUAUAUGGGAAUAAAAUGUUCCACGUGUGGGAUUUUGUAUGUACCAUAUGAAUAAGGAUCGGCUAACUCCGUGCCAGCAGCCGCGGUAAUACGGAGGAUCCUAGCGUUAUCCGGAUUUAUUGGGUUUAAAGGGAGCGUAGGUGGAUUGUUAAGUCAGUUGUGAAAGUUUGCGGCUCAACCGUAAAAUUGCAGUUGAAACUGGCAGUCUUGAGUACAGUAGAGGUGGGCGGAAUUCGUGGUGUAGCGGUGAAAUGCUUAGAUAUCACGAAGAACUCCGAUUGCGAAGGCAGUUCACUGGACUGCAACUGACACUGAGGCUCGAAAGUGUGGGUAUCAAACAGGAUUAGAUACCCGAGUAGUC